GAUGAACGCUGGCGGCGUGCCUAAUACAUGCAAGUCGAGCGAACGGACGAGAAGCUUGCUUCUCUGAUGUUAGCGGCGGACGGGUAAGUAACACGUGUAUAACCUACCUAUAAGACUGGGAUAACUUCGGGAAACCGGAUCUAAUACCGGAUAAUAUUUUGAACCGCAUGGUUCAAAAGUGAAAGACGGUCUUGCUGUCACUUAUAGAUGGAUCCGCGCUGCAUUAGCUAGUUGGUAAGGUAACGGCUUACCAAGGCAACGAUGCAUAGCCGACCUGAGAGGGUGAUCGGCCACACUGGAACUGAGACACGGUCAAGACUCCUACGGGAGGCAGCAGUAGGGAAUCUUCCGCAAUGGGCGAAAGCCUGACGGAGCAACGCCGCGUGAGUGAUGAAGGUCUUCGGAUCGUAAAGCUCUGUUAUUAGGGAAGAACAUAUGUGUAAGUAACUGUGCACAUCUUGACGGUACCUAAUCAGAAAGCCACGGCUAACUACGUG
rnacentral:rRNA from 1 species